CCACACGCGGCUCCCGCUCCCCGCCCGCCCCGGCGGGGCCCGAGCGCCCAACCCCGCCCGCCCCUUCCGGAGCCCCCGCUCCGGGCCGCCCCCCGGCCCCCUCACCUGCGCUUCCAGCGGGCCCGGAGCUCCCUGUCCCGCGCCGGGGGGCCCCUGGCCCUGGGCCGGCCCCGCCUGGCCGGGCCCGGGCGGGGUCUGGGUCUGGCUGGGGAGGGUGAAGUCGGUGAACUCGAACUCGGAGCCCUGCGUGUCGGCGCCGAGCAGCUCGGCCUCCUCGGUGUCCAGGAAGGGUUAAAUCCAUAGGGAAAAAAUUGGGAAUGAGCUGGGCCAUUCUCCUGAGCCACCACGAGAGGGACACAGAGGGAAAGCAAAAGGAGCUGGGAGAGGAAGAAUCCAAGGAACGGCUCAAGGUUUAAUUGGGGAUGAAUAUUCCCAGAACAAGUCAUGGGGAUGUAGGAAAUGGAGGAGAAGAUUUUGGGCAAAAUCCAGGGAUUUUGAAUGAAGAAAGUUCUCAGAAAUGAAUGGAUGAGGGCAGAGCAAAAGUCCUGGAAUGGAUGUGGACGAGACAUCCCAGUUUUAGGCCACCCUUCCUGGCUCCAGAUGAGAGCAUGGCUUUGCUGGAAGAGGGGAUUGCAAAAGGGGAUGUGAGGGAGGUCUGGAGCAGUAAUUUUAAACAGCACUUCAGCCAUGAUGUCAUUUCAGCUGAAAAAUAAUGUUCAAAAAUAAUGUUCAAGUUUGGGUAAGCAGAGCCCGGGGCCAGCAGCCGGGGGGGGAGGAACUGCAGCAAAAUGGAAAGUCCAAGAAGUGGAAGGUCAUGGUGGAAAACCAAAUCAGAAUAACCUCGAAAAAAGGUGGAUGAAAACCCUGGAAUUUUCAGUGAGCAGGAGGAUUCCAAGGAAAUGGAGGGGAGGAAGAUGUUCAAACCCUGGACAGGGCUUUCACUCCCCUGUCUGGAAGUCAGAAGCCAAAUCCUGGAGCACAGGAACAGCCUGAAGGAUUGUUGUGACCCCAGGCUGAGAUCCCAGAGUGAUCCCAGAUCUUCUGCUGGGAUUUAACCCAAAUCCAGCCAAAAGCUGCAUCCACUCCUUGCCUGGAGAGGCCAAAAGGCUGAAACAACGCAGGGACGUUGUUCCAGUGGGCUGGUGGUUUGUCCAGUGUCAUUGCAGAGGUGGCACUGUCACCCUCCAACCACUGUCACUCUUGGAAAUCUAUAAAUGUUAUCUAUAAAUCUCUAAAUGUUGGAGUCAGAAAUUAAAAAUUCUCUUUUACCUUGUGAGAGCUGCGUGUCCAUGUUGUGCUGCUGUGGCCUGCAGGCUCAGGGGAUCACAGCUGGAGCAGCCCUGCCCUCGGUGCCACCCCCAGGAAAACCUCUCUGCACAGGAAGCGUCCAGCAGGCACCCAGAGCCUGCCCAGGGUGUUUAGGAGCAGAGGAAAGGAUGAAGAGGAGCAGCCCUGCUCUGUUUCACUGUUUACAUCACCUCCAAAAAGAAGCAGCUGAACUGUGAUUCCCCCGAGGCAGCUCCCAAGGAAUUUACCCAACAAUCCAAGGAAAAAAACCUUUUUUUUUUCUUUUUUCUUUUUUUU